CCUACGGGAGGCAGCAGUGGGGGAUAUUGCACAAUGGGGGAAACUCUGAUGCAGCGACGCCGCGUGGGGGAAGACGGUCUUCGGAUUGUAAACCUCUUUCGUUGGGGAAGAAAAUGACGGUACCUAACGAAUAAGCACCGGCUAACUACGUGCCAGCAGCCGCGGUAAUACGUAGGGAGCGAGCGUUAUCCGGAAUUACUGGGGGUAAAGGGAGCGUAGGCGGGCGAGAAAGUUGAAUGUUAAAUCUAACGGCUUAACUGGGAGCUGCGUUUAAAACUUCUUGUCUUGAGUGAAGUAGAGGUAGGCGGAAUUCCUAGUGUAGCGGUGAAAUGCGUAGAUAUUAGGAGGAAUACCCGUGGCGAAGGCGGCCUGCUGG
rnacentral:rRNA from 1 species